rnacentral:lncRNA from 1 species
AACAGCUAGCACAUUGCUCAGGAUGCAGCUGCUUGUCCAGAGGGGUGUGAAGGGAAGGCGGACAGGCACCAGGGAGGCAGUCUACAAACUGAGUGCACUGCUUACACAGGAGGAAACUGACAAAGAGGCCCCAGAGGAGGCAGAUUCUAGCCUGCAGCUUCCCCAUCCCUCAAAGCAUGCAGGUUAUGCUUCUUGAGAUGCAAAACUGAAAUCUAAUCACGAGGAGCCGUCACAUAAACCCAAUUUGAGGAACCUUCUACAAAACAACUGGCCUGUAACCUGGUUGCAGAGAGGAAAGGAGGAAAUUUUUCGAUAGAAAAAUCUUGGAGAUCCUGUUGCUGUCACCCAUCGGGCUGUUGGAAGCUGGGGUUAGUCCAGAAGUCUUCAGGUAAUGCCAGGGUGUUGCCCUGGCCAGGAACUCUCAGUUGCCUCUGAACUUCUUCCAGCCCCACAUGAUGGCUAAGCUCUCCAUGAAAGGAGACCAGUUGGAAACAAAGCCAACAUUCCCAGCACCCUGAGGGCACUGAAGGAUUGGCUAAGUUCUCCCCGGCAAGCCUGUUCCCUGAGAAAAUGGAGGACAGAGUCCUUAAAAUGAAAGAGCUGGGGUCUGUGCCUAUACUCACUCUUUCAAUGAAUCUACGUCGGAUCCCAGGCAGGCCCCCACAAUGAAGUGGUGUUGUUCAACUGAGGUAAUACCCAAGGUUCGUUGUCUCAUGGCCACAGAAAACUAGGACUCGGACACACCAGAGUGAGGUUAAGAGCAGAAGUUUAAUAGGCAAAAGAAAGAGAAAAGCUCUCUCUGUUGCAGAGAGAGGGGUCCUGGCGAAAAUGGGUUGCCCCCAAGUUCAUUCUUGUUGUUCGCAAUGUUCAGCGUCUUGCGGUUGUGGGACUGACCGUAACAGACGAUUUUUUUGUUGGCUAGAAGCCACCUGCAUUCCUUGAUGUGUGGCCCCUCCAUCUUCAAGUGAGCAAUGGUGUUUUGAAUCCUCCUUAUGCUUCAUGUCUUUGACUUCCUCUUCUGUGACCAACCGGGAAAAACUCACUGCUUUAAAAGGGCUCUUAGGAUUAGAUCAGGUACUGUGUUAGUUCACUUUUGCAUUGCUAUAAAGAAAUACCUGAGGCUGGGUGAUUUAUAAAGAAAAG